rnacentral:rRNA from 1 species
AGCGGCGGACGGGUGAGUAAUGCCUAGGAAUCUGCCUGGUAGUGGGGGACAACGUUUCGAAAGGAACGCUAAUACCGCAUACGUCCUACGGGAGAAAGCAGGGGACCUUCGGGCCUUGCGCUAUCAGAUGAGCCUAGGUCGGAUUAGCUAGUUGGUGAGGUAAUGGCUCACCAAGGCGACGAUCCGUAACUGGUCUGAGAGGAUGAUCAGUCACACUGGAACUGAGACACGGUCCAGACUCCUACGGGAGGCAGCAGUGGGGAAUAUUGGACAAUGGGCGAAAGCCUGAUCCAGCCAUGCCGCGUGUGUGAAGAAGGUCUUCGGAUUGUAAAGCACUUUAAGUUGGGAGGAAGGGCAGUAAGUUAAUACCUUGCUGUUUUGACGUUACCGACAGAAUAAGCACCGGCUAACUCUGUGCCAGCAGCCGCGGUAAUACAGAGGGUGCAAGCGUUAAUCGGAAUUACUGGGCGUAAAGCGCGCGUAGGUGGUUCGUUAAGUUGGAUGUGAAAGCCCCGGGCUCAACCUGGGAACUGCAUCCAAAACUGGCGAGCUAGAGUAUGGUAGAGGGUGGUGGAAUUUCCUGUGUAGCGGUGAAAUGCGUAGAUAUAGGAAGGAACACCAGUGGCGAAGGCGACCACCUGGACUGAUACUGACACUGAG